rnacentral:rRNA from 1 species
GAGUUUGAUUCUGGCUCAGGAUGAACGCUGGCGGCGUGCCUAAUACAUGCAAGUCGAGCGAACAGACGAGGAGCUUGCUCCUCUGACGUUAGCGGCGGACGGGUGAGUAACACGUGGAUAACCUACCUAUAAGACUGGGAUAACUUCGGGAAACCGGAGCUAAUACCGGAUAAUAUAUUGAACCGCAUGGUUCAAUAGUGAAAGACGGUUUUGCUGUCACUUAUAGAUGGAUCCGCGCCGCAUUAGCUAGUUGGUAAGGUAACGGCUUACCAAGGCAACGAUGCGUAGCCGACCUGAGAGGGUGAUCGGCCACACUGGAACUGAGACACGGUCCAGACUCCUACGGGAGGCAGCAGUAGGGAAUCUUCCGCAAUGGGCGAAAGCCUGACGGAGCAACGCCGCGUGAGUGAUGAAGGUCUUCGGAUCGUAAAACUCUGUUAUUAGGGAAGAACAAAUGUGUAAGUAACUAUGCACGUCUUGACGGUACCUAAUCAGAAAGCCACGGCUAACUACGUGCCAGCAGCCGCGGUAAUACGUAGGUGGCAAGCGUUAUCCGGAAUUAUUGGGCGUAAAGCGCGCGUAGGCGGUUUUUUAAGUCUGAUGUGAAAGCCCACGGCUCAACCGUGGAGGGUCAUUGGAAACUGGAAAACUUGAGUGCAGAAGAGGAAAGUGGAAUUCCAUGUGUAGCGGUGAAACGCGCAGAGAUAUGGAGGAACACCAGUGGCGAAGGCGACUUUCUGGUCUGUAACUGACGCUGAUGUGCGAAAGCGUGGGGAUCAAACAGGAUUAGAUACCCUGGUAGUCCACGCCGUAAACGAUGAGUGCUAAGUGUUAGGGGGUUUCCGCCCCUUAGUGCUGCAGCUAACGCAUUAAGCACUCCGCCUGGGGAGUACGACCGCAAGGUUGAAACUCAAAGGAAUUGACGGGGACCCGC